rnacentral:rRNA from 1 species
AAAACUGCUAUAUCCCAUUUUUCUGAUGUGUUCAAUUCUGUCAUACAUCUGCUUGGAUUGAGGGUGAUUUACAUGACAGGUGGUUGCUAUACCUGGUCUAAUAAACAGGAAAACCCAACCUUAGAAAAAUUGGAUAGAGUGCUUAUGUCUCCUGACUGGGAAGACUUAUACCCUCUUGCUUCUGUUGCUAAGUUGAUCAAAGAGUUAUCUGAUCAUAAUCCUUUGUUAUUGGAUAGUGGGAGAGCCUCCUCUAGAGCACCUGGAAAUAGAUGCUUCCGAUUUGAUAAUGCUUGGCUUCAAAAUCCAGAAUUUCUUCCUCUGGUGGCUGGGAUUUGGUCUAGGCCGGUGUACACAAACAACCCCAUCGAUUCCUUGAACAUUAAACUGAAGAGGUUCAAGAAAUUCUUUAAAGGGUGGGGAUCUAAUUUGUUUGGUCACAACAAGAUUAGAAAGAAGCUUAUUAAACUUGAACUUCAGGAGCUGGAAAAGCUCGAAGAGGAAGUUGGCCUAUGUGGUGAGUAUACUAGGAAACUAAAUAUCCUAGUAGAGCUCAAUGAUAUAUAUGUGGAAGAAGAACUUCAUUGGCAUCAACUAUCUAAUGAGAGGUGGUUAUUGAAAGGAGACGAUAACACUGAUUUUUUUCAUAAGGUUGCUAAUGGGCGUCGUAGGAAAAACUCUAUGAUCUCCCUUGAAUGUGGAUCUGUGGUUAUAGAUGGAACCAAAAACUUAUUAGCCCAUGCCAUCGAAUACUAUAAGAACCUUUUUGGACCGGCCCCUGGAAAUAUUUGCCAAAUUGAUGCAACUCUAUGGUCUCAGGAGGAAAAAAUUACCCCUAAGGACAAUGAUGAUUUGACCCGACCUUUUUCCCUUGAGGAGAUC